rnacentral:misc_RNA from 1 species
GAUGAAGAACGUAGCGAAAUGCGAUACGUAGUGUGAAUUGCAGAAUUCAGUGAAUCAUCGAAUCUUUGAACGCACAUUGCACCUCUCGGUAUUCCGGGAGGUAUGCCUGUUCGAGCGUCAUUUGUACACUCAAGCUCUGCUUGGUGUUGGGUGUUUGUUCCGCCUCUGUGUGUGAACUCGCCUCAAAACAAUUGGCAGCCGGCGUACUUGUUUCGGAGCGCAGCACAUUUUGCGAUCCAGAUCAACGUACAGCGGCAUCCAAGAAGCCUUAUUUAACGCUCUUGACCUCGGAUCAGGUAGGGAUACCCGCUGAACUUAAGCAUAUCAAUAGCGGAGGA